ACGGGUGAGGAAUACGUCGGAAUCUGCCUAUUUGUGGGGGAUAACGUAGGGAAACUUACGCUAAUACCGCAUACGACCUUAGGGUGAAAGCGGAGGACCUUCGGGCUUCGCGCAGAUAGAUGAGCCGACGUCGGAUUAGCUAGUUGGCGGGGUAAAGGCCCACCAAGGCGACGAUCCGUAGCUGGUCUGAGAGGAUGAUCAGCCACACUGGAACUGAGACACGGUCCAGACUCCUACGGGAGGCAGCAGUGGGGAAUAUUGGACAAUGGGCGCAAGCCUGAUCCAGCCAUGCCGCGUGUGUGAAGAAGGCCUUCGGGUUGUAAAGCACUUUUGUCCGGAAAGAAAAGCUUCGGGCUAAUACCCCGGGGUCAUGACGGUACCGGAAGAAUAAGCACCGGCUAACUUCGUGCCAGCAGCCGCGGUAAUACGAAGGGUGCAAGCGUUACUCGGAAUUACUGGGCGUAAAGCGUGCGUAGGUGGUUUGUUAAGUCUGAUGUGAAAGCCCCGGGCUCAACCUGGGAAUUGCAUUGGAUACUGGCAGGCUAGAGUGCGGUAGAGGAUGGCGGAAUUCCCGGUGU
rnacentral:rRNA from 1 species